UAUGGAAAACCCACCAGAAAGACUUGAGCACAACACUUUCCCUAUUUGAAUUCUUCAGCAACUGUUAUUCAUGAAUAUACUGUCACCAAUACUGGGGGAAGGACACUUAGCCAUGGUGAGGAGUAGCUGUUGGCAGCCUUAUCCUUUGUGAAUUUGUCUAAUCCCAUUUUAAAGCUGUCCAUGUUGGUGGCCACCACACCAUCUUGUGGCAGCCAAUUAUUCCGUUUCAGUAUGUGCUGCCUCUUGUCCUGUCCUGAAUCUUCCAAUACUCAGCUUCCUUGGAGGACCCUGAUCCUAGUAUUUUGAGAGAGGGAGAGGUUUAUUAAUAUUGAAGUUUAGGGUAUUUUCAGGUCACUUUUCCAGGUCCAAGUGACUGAAGGAUGCAUGUAAUGUCCUUAUCUUCUUUGGGCUAUUUAUUCAGUCUUUCCUCUUUUUGUCUUAGCUGCAGCUGCUGUUGAUUCCUCUAUACCUCUCUUCUGAAUGAAGGACAAUAAACCCAUUUAUUUCCCUUUGGUACAUCUCUGCCCUUAUCUUACCUCCACUUCUGAAUUAGUUCCUCUGCAAGAGGGAAUUCCUUCGCCUGAAUUAAUUGAAUAUCCUUUUGUUGAUCUACUGCCAUAGGAACCAGAGUGCGCUUUGUAAAAAAUCCACUUGAGUACAUUUUGUUACGCAAACAGCUCUGGACACAGCAUUGUCAGGAUCAUUUAGAAGACACCGGAGCAAAGAUAUUCCUUCCUCCUCCCCUGCCUUCGGGAAUUGCUGCUCAC